rnacentral:rRNA from 1 species
UACAGAGGGUGCAAGCGUUGUCCGGAAUCACUGGGCGUAAAGGGCGCGUAGGCGGCCUGAUAAGUCGGGGGUGAAAUUCUGCGGCUUAACCUCAGGACGGCCUUCGAGACUGUCGGGCUUGAGCACGGUAGAGGCUGGUGGAAUUCCCGGUGUAGCGGUGGAAUGCGUAGAGAUUGGGAAGAACACCAGUGGCGAAGGCGGCUAUCUGGACGGUUUCUGACGCUAAGACGCGAAAGCGUGGGGAGCAAACAGG